UUCUCAGCAGCAUAUCCCAGUACAUCUGGUGGAACCGCUGGCUCUCAUCCUCUGACUCCCGAAGCCUCUUCCUCAGGACCUUGGACUCCGCCUUGGCAUCUUUGACUGCCUGCUGCUCGUGGACCAGCUGAAUCUUCAGCCGCUGCAGUUCGGCCUCCUCCCGUCCAAGGGCCACAGACAAUUCUACCAUGGUCCCCCUCAAGGAGCGGAGCUCGUCGG
rnacentral:lncRNA from 1 species